CGGGACGGGUGAGUAACGCGUGGGUAACCUGCCUUGUACUGGGGGACAACAGUUAGAAAUGACUGCUAAUACCGCAUAAGCGCACAGUAUCGCAUGAUACAGUGUGAAAAACUCCGGUGGUACAAGAUGGACCUGCGUCUGAUUAGCUAGUUGGUAAGGUAACGGCUUACCAAGGCGACGAUCAGUAGCCGACCUGAGAGGGUGACCGGCCACAUUGGGACUGAGACACGGCCCAA
rnacentral:rRNA from 1 species